UACGUAGGAGGCAAGCGUUGUCCGGAAUUACUGGGCGUAAAGCGUGUGUAGGCGGAUCGUUAAGUACCUUGUGAAAUCCCACGGCUUAACCGUGGAACUGCUUGGUAUACUGGCGAUCUUGAGCCACUUAGGGGCUACCGGAACAAAUGGUGGAGCGGUGAAAUGCGUAGAUAUCAUUUGGAACGCCAAUGGUGAAAACAGGUAGCUGGGAGUGUGCUGACGCUGAGACACGAAAGCCAGGGGAGCAAACGGG
rnacentral:rRNA from 1 species